AGUCAACCUACCCUAUGGACGGGAAUAAUCUCGGGAAACUGAGGAUAAUUCCAGAUAGAACACAAUGCCUGGAACGGUUUGUGUUCCAAAUGAUUUAUCGCCGUAGGAUGGGACUGCGUCCUAUCAGUUUGUUGGUGAGGUAAUGGCCCACCAAGACUAUUACAGGUACGGGCUCUGAGAGGAGUAGCCCGGAGAUGGGUACUGAGACACGGACCCAGGCCCUAUGGGGCGCAGCAGGCGAGAAAACUUUGCAAUGUGCGAAAGCACGACAAGGUUAAUCCGAGUGGUUCCUGCUAAAGGAACCUUUUGACGGUCCUAAAAACACCGUUGAAUAAGGGGUGGGCAAGUUCUGGUGUCAGCCGCCGCGGUAAAACCAGCACCUCAAGUGGUCAGGAUGAUUAUUGGGCCUAAAGCAUCCGUAGCCGGCUCUGUGAGUUUUCGGUUAAAUCUGUGCGCUCAACGUACAGGCUGCCGGGAAUACUGCAAAGCUAGGGAGUGGGAGAGGUAGACGGUACUUGGUAGGAAGGGGUAAAAUCCUCUGAUCUAUUGAUGACCACCUGUGGCGAAGGCGGUCUACCAGAACACGUCCGACGGUGAGGGAUGAAAGCUGGGGGAGCAAACUGGAUUAGAUACCCGGGUAGUCCCAGCUGUAAACUAUGCAAACUCAAUGAUGCAUUGGCUUGAAGCCAAUGCAGUGUU
rnacentral:rRNA from 1 species